UCCUUUCUUCCUUCUUUCCUUCCUUCCUGUGUCAGCACCUUUUAUAGGAAGGCUUUGCUGAUUUCCCUAGCUGGUAAUGUUCUCCCCUUCAUCACAUUUUCAUUUAUAUACCUGCAGGCUUCCUUGCUGUAUUUCCCCACUGGAAUGUAAGCUCUUUGAAGGCAGUUGUCCCAUCACCUACCACAGUAUCUUGCACGUGAGAAAGAAAUUCUUGUAGAAUUGAACUGAAUUUCUUCAUUCUACUUCUCCUUCUAGCUUACUUAGGUGCCCAUUUCUUUCCUAGAGCAAGGGAUAUAGACUGUUCUCCUUACAUCUCUUUGCUCCAUCAGAAGGCAUGGGUGUACUCUGUGAAAAGCCCCCAAACAUCUGUCAACAAUGAGAAAAAUUCAAGUGGAUAUCAGAGGAAACGGAUUAGACAGCCAGGAGACUAACCAUCAAAUAAUUCAUCAAAUAUCUGUCGAAGCCUACUAAAUACGAAACACCGUGCAAGAUUAAGAUACAAGAGGGAGAAAGGGCGAGAGGGGUAAUAUAAACCAUUCCUGAUGGGUCCAAAACAAAGGAUGAAGAAGGCUGAAUAGAUGAAUGUGACGGACCAAAGACAGAUGUUCUCAUCCUACUGGAGGCAGUUCUAAGGGUUGCCUACCACAGAGCAUCCAGGACUGGGGAAUGGAAUGAUUUCCUACCGAAAAGGCCAUGGGGUUCCGACUGGCG